rnacentral:lncRNA from 1 species
AACAAUUAUACUACGACCCGACACGCCCCCUCCCUCUCUCCAUCAACCCUUCUCCCGUUCCCCAAAUCUCUCGACCUCGGAGCAGCCAUGACUCAUAUCCUUCACCGCGAAUAAAAUCGCCUUCUCUGUUCAUCUAAUUUUCGUUGAUUCUUGUCAAGAAUUGGCCGGAUUAUUACUUUAUAUCUGUUACCGUGUGCGAGUGUGUUGUGUUUUGGUUGGAUCUGUCCGUGUUGUUCCUUGACCUUGCUGGCGGCUGCACGCGGCGACCAGAGGGAGCGGGACCGGCAGCGGGCGCAGGCGCGGAAGCCGGGGACCAAGGGCCGCGACGACGGGCUCACGCCGGAGCAGCGACGAGAGAGGGACGCCAAGGCGCUGCAGGAGAAGACCGCCAAGAAGGCGGCGCAGGCCACGCAGGGGGCCGACGACGCCAAGAAGAAGAACGCCGCCGGCAAGAAAUAGUAGUUCGGAUCCGUUCUGUCUGUCUCAUGAAGUGGAGAGAUGUUCUGAUGUAGAAUUUCUGUGCGAUGUGGUUGCGCUCGGCUUGUAGCACAAUUCUUUCGGCGCCUCCAGAUCAGGCCCCUGUUGUUGAUGCGUAAUUCGUGGAUCUUUAAUGCAAUGCGAUCAAUUUGGUCGUUACAUCCUCUUCUCAUCCGAAAUUGUCCGGAAUUCCUGACCAGCGUUUUGUAGCUUUUGUCUCACGUUGUCUGACUUGUGCAG